UGGGGUCAAGCAGCCCCCCGAGGCUCCUUAAUGCGAGCCCUCUUCUGGAACAUCCGCGGCUUCGGCCAUGAUGGUCGUCGCCGCCAACUUGUGGAGUACAUGCGGGAUGAGCACAUCGACAUCGUUGCCGUUCAGGAGACCAUGCGUCGCGACUUCUCGUUCCCUGAGCUCGACCAUUUGAGCUCCCACCUCUUUGCGUGGCACUGGCUCCCUUCUAGUGGGAGCUCAGGCCACUCGGGUGGCAUCCUUUUAGGUGUGAAGGAUGCCACCUUCGAGGUGGGCAGC
rnacentral:rRNA from 1 species